AAAGAGAUGCUGAACUGCAGACAACUGUGCUGAGGGAUGCUUGCUACCUACAGGAGGGAAGUGAUGCUGGGACCCGGUACCACCAUGCAGGCUCUGCACUGCACAAUGAGGAUGCACACUCUCCAUGAUGCAAACUGGCACAGAGAAACUCCCAAAUACUUGUGGCUCCUCCACGAUUUAUGGUGCUGAACUUUCCAGCUUGCAAGGAGCACGUGAGGAAGGUUAUACCAGCUGCUAGAAACAAAUCUGCUCCGCAACAGAUGUGAGGUGUUUGCUUAGCUAUCGCAUGGACUUUCAGAUCAAAUCCACACUCUGCACAGGAACAAGGACACCAGCGUUUGGUUUCUAGAGUGAAUUUCAUGAGCUGGCAUUGGUGAGGUGCUUGCCAAGGUUGACUGAGCGAAGAAGGACCUCUGCAAAGAAGCCAAAACCAAAAUCUGUUAAGAAGGGGGAAAGAAAUCCCCGUCUUCCGACCUGCAUUACUUGAAAGUGGGGAUUCAGACCAGCUGCCUACUUUUAUUCACAGCUCAUCCCAGCAAGCAAGGGCUCACCUCAUAUAACACGACCUGGAUAACAGAAGCUGGGACAUCUUAUGUGCAGCAGAGCAAACUGCCCCAUGACAGGAGCUCAGACUGAAAAGUGGAGAACAAACCUCUGACCUCCUUGCAGAAGACCAGGAAGGGAGCAGUGUCCCUGAGUGUGACAGCAGACACAAAUGCUGGUGCACUUCUGGAAGGCAAUCGCAGCAGAGUUUUGUAGGUGAAGGUUUUGUGAUCCAAAUAAUCUCUGAGUCUGGCAGGACCUUCACAAGGAUUGUAGGUCAGACUAAGCAAGGCUGGAUUGUGGAGCUGGUCGGCAGACUUGUGAGCACAGCCUUGGAUUCCCACGGAAUAAAUUACUUCCCUGCUGGCAGGAGCCCUUCCACUGUGCAAGGGCAUCAGGACACCCACGGCUUGGGUGCAAGAGGUGGGAAAAGAGCAGAAACCUGCUUCCUGGGUUUAAUGCUGUUAACACUGUUGCAUCUGUGUUCUCAGCAAGAGCAGGCUCCGUGCGCUCAACAGAUAGGGCUGCUGUGCAGCACGCACCCUUGCCUGCCACUUGUGGGCUGGUUGCUUGGACUGGUGUGUAAGAAGUGCUCAGUAACUCCUCCAUGGAUGGACAUGCAGGUCUGGUAACUGGAGCCUGCAUCAGCGUACCAGAAGAGCUCCACAGCCCUCAGUUCUCACUAUGUCCCCUGGACACUAAGGCUUCGACUCCAGAAAACACCACUGACAGUAGAAGGCUCCUCUAGGAAUGCUGCCAGGCACGCAGGGCAGAUCCAAGUUUUCAAGACCAGCUGCAGCUGAUGGCAGAGUCAAGAAAGUGGCCAUGGGCCCAGUGCCCUUGCAGCUCUUCUUCUGUGUGGGGUGCAGGAGGGAGGGCAGUGUCUGGGGGACCACCCCUGAUCACCAGCUUCAGCACGGAGAUACGGCUUUUCUCCUCAUUUGUGUGCUGCCCACCACAUGUCACCUUGUCCUUGCCUGACCCCCUGGCGAGUGUCUAGGGGGCCUUCCCAGCCUUUUUGUGCAGUGCAAACCAUCAACAGGCCGCUGCUCCCCCCCACCCCCCCCAGGGAAUUUCCAUUCCUUCAUGGGAUCCCUUCAUGAGGCCAUGGGAGUGGUGCAGCUCAGCCUUCAGGGCGACACACAAACAUUUUUCACUGUGGCUGAGAAAAGACCUCCUAGAGCGGGGCAAUGAGACCCACACAUGGGAGGGAUGGCUGCUCAAACAUGCCUGGUCUUCUAAAGAGGGCUGGGACAGUGGAUCGCUCCCCUGCUUGUCAUCAGGGACUCUCUGGAGGGGGGGGAAGUGAUGCAUGCAGCUGCAGGUUUUGCACUGCUAGCAUCUGUGUAAAUUUUAUGAAUUCAUGUCAUGACUCCUACAUGUUAUCCGAAUCCAAUGUGGGAAUAUGAGCUAAAGCUGGAGUAAUCACCUGGGGUUCAACACUAGCGUUGUUAUGAAAAAUAAGUAUGUGGUUCAAAAGCUGAUCUCUGUAAUAAAUUGUUUCCUACUUUUCAGGAAUGUGAAAUCGUUAGUAAAUGGACUCAGUAUGUCCACCAGGCUGAAAAAUAA